rnacentral:lncRNA from 1 species
AAAAAUAGUGCCCAGCAGCACAGCCGGGUCAGAACCGCGACAAUGUUACCGCGAAUAUUUAUUGAUCGGCCCUUUUAACGCGCCCGUCGCGGUCAGCACGUGACCGGAAUUCGUUCAGCCAAACCCCACGCGUGGCAACCGGCGACGGGGCGCCCCAUGUCACAGAGGAGGAGGCCGGGGCUCGGAGGAAGCCGGCGGCCCGUCCCAGGCACCCCAGCCAGCUGGGUUCAAAUUCCUGCUCUGCUGGUCUACUGUGUGACUCCAGACAAGUCCCUGGCCCUCUCUGAGCCUCAGCUUUGUCAGCUGUAAAACGAGCACUCCCUGACUCUCUGUCCCUCCUCUGCCUCGCUGCUUCCCCGACACCCUAGCCCGCAGCAGCUUCCUGCCGGACCGGAGGGUCCAGGCAAUCCGGGUGGGCUUCCCGCAGGAGGGGGCUCGGGGCCGCGAGGCGACCGCGCGCGACAGUGGAGAGAGACCUGAAUUGACGUGAUGGGCGAACCCCUCAUCUGCAGCCCCCGUGGACAGCACGCAGGUGUUCGCUAUAUCCGUCUUCGCGCUGUUCUUUCUUUCCGACUCAAAAUUAAAAACGAGUGAUUACAACGAAGAGACAAAGUCGCGGAGCAUUGAAAUAGGUGGAGCAGAAGCCGUAGAACAUUCCAGGCGGAGGCGCCAGCGUCAGCAAAGACCUGGAGGCCGCGAAAUGAGUGCCUGGCCCCACUCACCCACCGGAAGAGAAUACCCAAGGAUGGGAUAAAGCAGGAGGUGGAGAUCAUCCAAGGGCCCUUCUAGAAGUGGGACUCAUUGAGGAUGGCACUCGAUGCUCUCACCGUGGAAUACUACACAGCUGUUAAAAGUGAUAGGGAGUUUUCAUUUAGAAUAUUAUCCUGUUACUGUUAAAAAAAAUGCAUGCAUAUAAGCAUCCGUCAUAAUCCAGGAAAGGCCAUGCCUCAGUGCCUUUGCACGUGCCGUGCUUUCUGCCUGGAAUGCUCUUCCUUCGUCUCUCUGCAUAGCUCCCUCUCUCAUCUCCUUCUGGCCUGUGUUCCAGUGUCACCUCCUCCGAGAAGCCCUCCAUGACCACUCUCUGUCUAAAAUAGUCCCAUCCCCCCCGACCCCCGACCCUACUUUGUUUUGUCCGCAUCACGGCUCAUCAUUUGACCUUACACUUAUCUUGCUGACCCUCCGUCUCCCCCACUGGAAUGUCAGCUGCACGAGGGUGAGGACUCCUGCCUGGUUUGUUCACUGCGGUGUUUCCAUUGCCUGGCACACAGUCGGUGCUCAAUAAAUACAAGUUGAACACAUGAA